GACAGAGGUGGCAAGCGUUGUUCGGAAUUACUGGGCUUAAAGGGCGCGUAGGUGUCCCGGCAAGUCAGAUGUGGAAUCUUUUCGCUUAACGGAAAAAUUGCAUUUGAAACUGUCGGGAUUGAGUCAGACAGGGGAUGGCGGAAUCCCUGGUGUAGCGGUGAAAUGCGUAGAUAUCAGGAGGAAGGCCGGUGGCGAAGGCGGCCAUCUGGGUCUGAACUGACACUGAGGCGCGAAAGCGUGGGUAGCAAACAGG
rnacentral:misc_RNA from 1 species